rnacentral:lncRNA from 1 species
GUAAGAGCAUCUCCAGCGGGUGUGUCGAAGGAGGCGUCGAUCCGGGUCGCCAGGGUGGUGGCCGCGUUGGAGAUGCGGCGUGGUUCGAAGCAGCGGCGAAGCGAAGACACGAGGCGAAGGCCGAUUUUGUGCGGAGCGUGUAUACCACGCUCUGAAAUUUAAAAAAAAAAAUGAAAACAAGAGAGACAAUUGCAGAAGGGAAGAAGAAGAAGAAGAAAAAGAUAGGCGGUGGGAGACCGUUGCAGAAGGGAAG